UUAUUUUAUUUUCUUUAGACUCAGACUGCAAAGAACUGUAAGAGUUGGAUACUUCGGCAAGCACACGCUCGCGUUCGCCAACGGCUAGUUGAAACUAGACGUCUCGCCGAAGAAGACUUGAAUAGGUACACAAAGGGUGGGAGGCGACUGUUAGAAACAGUCAACACUCGGUAAUGAUCCUUCCGCAGGUUCACCUACGGAAA
rnacentral:misc_RNA from 1 species